AGUGAACGCUGGCGGUAGGCCUAACACAUGCAAGUCGAACGGCAGCACAGUAAGAGCUUGCUCUUACGGGUGGCGAGUGGCGGACGGGUGAGGAAUACAUCGGAAUCUACUUUUUCGUGGGGGAUAACGUAGGGAAACUUACGCUAAUACCGCAUACGACCUACGGGUGAAAGCAGGGGAUCUUCGGACCUUGCGCGAUUGAAUGAGCCGAUGUCGGAUUAGCUAGUUGGCGGGGUAAAGGCCCACCAAGGCGACGAUCCGUAGCUGGUCUGAGAGGAUGAUCGGCCACACUGGAACUGAGACACGGUCCAGACUCCUACGGGAGGCAGCAGUGGGGAAUAUUGGACAAUGGGCGCAAGCCUGAUCCAGCCAUACCGCGUGAGUGAAGAAGGCCUUCGGGUUGUAAAGCCCUUUUGUUGGGAAAGAAAAGCAGCAGGUUAAUCCCCCGCUGUUCUGACGGUACCCAAAGAAUAAGCACCGGCUAACUUCGUG
rnacentral:rRNA from 1 species